rnacentral:rRNA from 1 species
CGUAACACGUGAGCAACCUACCGAACUGUGGGGGAUAGCCGGCCUAACGGCCGAGUAAUACCGCAUACGCUUUCAGUGAGGCAUUUCAUUGAAAGGAAACCUACGGGACAGAUCGAGGGGCUCGCGGCCUAUCAGCUAGUUGGCGAGGUAACGGCUCACCAAGGCAACGACGGGUAGCUGGUCUGAGAGGAUGGCCAGCCACAUUGGGACUGAGAGACGGCCCAG